AAAAAGUGAAAUAAGUAAAAUUUGGCAGACAUUGAAGAAUAAAAAUUAUAAUUUAUAUUGAUAAAAAGUGAAAUAAGUAAAAUUUGCUGUUUAGUGAAAACUUUGUUUAGCAACUUAAAUGAAGCUGCAGAAAGUGUGAAUUGGUUAAUAGAUAUAAAGAUAUGUCAUGAGGGCUUCACAGAUGGACAAACAGAGGUAAACUAGGAGAGUGAGUGACACAUCGAGGAUGAGAGUAUCAUGUAUGUGCUUUAUAAACAGCAUCAUGUGUGAUUGGCUGUAGCACAAAGUAGAGCUAACUAGAGAAGAUGAGGAGAGAACAUAUUCAAGGGUAUAAUGUUUGAUAAUUUUUUCAGAGUAAACAAAUGAAUUCAGGAAGCCAACCAAUCCCCAUUUUGGAUGUGUAAAAUAUAACUUUACUUUGUAUUGAAUGUGCAAAACAAUAUAUUUUGGCUGAUUUUUAGUAAUUUUCUUCUUUGGUGGCUGAUUCAUGAUGAUGUGUUUAAGUUUGAAACCACUACUGAAGAUGAAGAAUCUCUUAAAAGAAG
rnacentral:lncRNA from 10 species